rnacentral:rRNA from 1 species
GGGGAAUUUUCCGCAAUGGGCGAAAGCCUGACGGAGCAAUACCGCGUGAGGGAAGAGGGCUUUUGGGUUGUAAACCUCUUUUCUCAGGGAAGAAAAAAAUGACGGUACCUGAGGAAUAAGCAUCGGCUAACUCCGUGCCAGCAGCCGCGGUAAGACGGAGGAUGCAAGCGUUAUCCGGAAUUAUUGGGCGUAAAGCGUCCGUAGGCGGUUUUUUAAGUCAGUUGUUAAAGACUGCAGCUCAACUGUGGGAGAGCAACUGAAACUGGAAGACUAGAGUAUGGUAGGGGUAGAGGGAAUUCCUAGUGUAGCGGUGAGAUGCGUAGAUAUUAGGAAGAACACCAGUGGCGAAGGCGCUCUGCUGGGCCAUAACUGACGCUGAUGGACGAAAGCUAGGGGAGCGAAAGGGAUUAGAUACCCCUGUAGUCA